GACGAACGCUGGCGGCGUGCUUAACACAUGCAAGUCGAACGGUAAGGCCCUUCGGGGUACACGAGUGGCGAACGGGUGAGUAACACGUGGGUGAUCUGCCCUGCACUUCGGGAUAAGCCUGGGAAACUGGGUCUAAUACCGGAUAGGACCACUGCCUGCAUGGGUGGUGGCGGAAAGCUUUUGCGGUGUGGGAUGGGCCCGCGGCCUAUCAGCUUGUUGGGGGGGUGAUGGCCUACCAAGGCGACGACGGGUAGCCGGCCUGAGAGGGUGACCGGCCACACUGGGACUGAGAUACGGCCCAGACUCCUACGGGAGGCAGCAGUGGGGAAUAUUGCACAAUGGGCGCAAGCCUGAUGCAGCGACGCCGCGUGAGGGAUGACGGCCUUCGGGUUGUAAACCUCUUUCAGCACCGACGAAGCGCAAGUGACGGUAGGUGCAGAAGAAGGACCGGCCAACUACGUGCCAGCAGCCGCCGUAA
rnacentral:rRNA from 1 species